UCAGAAUUCCUUUGGUUUUUGAAGGUCUCGAGAUGAAGGUAUUUUAAAUAGACAGACACGAUUUGUUAAUGAUAAACUAUUGUAGGCUUUAAUGGUACAU